CCUUUGGAUGACAAAGAGAUGGUCUCAUGUAUCCUCACUGGCCUCAACAUUGACUUCAAUCCAAUCAUGUCCGCGAUCGUUGCACGCAUGGAACUAAUCUCAGUAAGUGAAUUGUAUGCUCAGUUUCUAAGAUUUGAAA